rnacentral:rRNA from 1 species
GCUGGCGGCAGCCCUUAUACAUGCAAGUCGAACGAGAAAGUUCCUUCGGGGGCGAGUAAAGUGGCGGACGGGUGAGUAACGCGUAGGAAUCUACCUUUCAGUGGGGGAUAGCUCGGGGAAACUCGAAUUAAUACCGCAUACACCCUUCGGGGGAAAGGGGGCCUCUCCUUGGAAGCUCUCGCUGUUAGAUGAGCCUGCGUGAGAUUAGCUUGUUGGUAAGGUAAUGGCUUACCAAGGCUACGAUCUCUAGCUGGUCUGAGAGGACGAUCAGCCACACUGGGACUGAGACACGGCCCAGACUCCUACGGGAGGCAGCAGUAGGGAAUAUUGGACAAUGGGGGCAACCCUGAUCCAGGCAUGCCGCGUGUGUGAAGAAGGCCUUAGGGUUGUAAAGCACUUUAAGUGAGGAAGAAAAGAUUUAAACUAAUACUUUAAGUCCCUGACAUUACUCACAGAAUAAGGACCGGCUAACUCCGUGCCAGCAGCCGCGGUAAUACGGAGGGUCCAAGCGUUAAUCGGAAUUACUGGGCGUAAAGCGCGCGUAGAUGGUUUAUUCAGUUGGGUGUGAAAUCCCUGGGCUCAACCUAGGAACUGCAUUCAAAACUUAUAAACUAGAGUACGAAAGAGGAGAGUAGAAUUCAUGGUGUAGCGGUGAAAUGCGUAGAGAUCAUGAGGAAUACCAGUGGCGAAGGCGACUCUCUGGUUCGAGACUGACAUUGAGGUGCGAAAGCGUGGGUAGCAAACAGGAUUAGAUACCCUGGUAGUCCACGCCGUAAACGAUGAGAACUAGCCGUUGGAUCUUUAGAUUCAGUGGCGCAGCUAACGCAUUAAGUUCUCCGCCUGGGGAGUACGGCCGCA